AUUGAACGCUUGCGGCAGGCCUAACACAUGCAAGUCGAGCGAGCGGCGGACGGGUGAGUAAUGUCUGGGAACCUGCCUGAUGGAGGGGGAUAAAUACUGGAAACGGUAGCUAAUACCGCAUACCAUCAGAUGUGCCCAGAUGGUAUUAGCUAGUAGGUGGGGUAACGGCUCACCUAGGCGACGAUCCCUAUCUGGUCUGAGAGUAUGACCAGCAACACUGUAACUGAUACACGGUCCAGACUCCUACGGGAGGCAGCAGUGGGGAAUAUUGCACAAGGGGCGCAAGCCUGAUGCAGCCAUGCCGCGUGUAUGAAUAAGGCCUUCGGGUUGUAAAGUACUUUCAGCGGGGAGGCGUUACCCGCAGAAGAAGCACCGGCUAACUCCGUGCCAGCAGCCGCGGUAAUUC
rnacentral:rRNA from 1 species